CGCCAUGUCCACCUCCGCGC
rnacentral:miRNA from 1 species